rnacentral:rRNA from 1 species
AUUGAACGCUGGCGGCAGGCCUAACACAUGCAAGUCGAGCGGAUGAAGGGAGCUUGCUCCUGGAUUAAGCGGCGGACGGGUGAGUAAUGCCUAGGAAUCUGCCUGGUAGUGGGGGAUAACGUCCGGAAACGGGCGCUAAUACCGCAUACGUCCUGAGGGAGAAAGUGGGGGAUCUUCGGACCUCACGCUAUCAGAUGAGCCUAGGUCGGAUUAGCUAGUUGGUGGGGUAAAGGCCUACCAAGGCGACGAUCCGUAACUGGUCUGAGAGGAUGAUCAGUCACACUGGAACUGAGACACGGUCCAGACUCCUACGGGAGGCAGCAGUGGGGAAUAUUGGACAAUGGGCGAAAGCCUGAUCCAGCCAUGCCGCGUGUGUGAAGAAGGUCUUCGGAUUGUAAAGCACUUUAAGUUGGGAGGAAGGGCAGUAAGUGAAUACCUUGCUGUUUUGACGUUACCAACAGAAUAAGCACCGGCUAACUUCGUG